rnacentral:rRNA from 1 species
CAGCAGCCGCGGGAAUACGUAGGGUGCGACCGUUAAUCGGAAUUACUGGGCGUAAAGCGUGCGCAGGCGGUUAUAUAAGACAGAUGUGAAAUCCCCGGGCUCAACCUGGGACCUGCAUUUGUGACUGUAUAGCUAGAGUACGGUAGAGGGGGAUGGAAUUCCGCGUGUAGCAGUGAAAUGCGUAGAUAUGCGGAGGAACACCGAUGGCGAAGGCGACUCUCUGGUCUGUAACUGACGCUGAGGUGCGAAAGCGUGGGGAGCAAACAGGAUUAGAUACCCCAGUAGUCCCUGUCUCUUAUAC